CAACUUGUUUUGUUUUUUUUAACUUUUGCCUUUUAUGUGAGCUGAGAUGCUUUUCAUGUGACAUCCUCUGAUGCCAGCUUUCUUUUUCUGAUUUCUAUGGCAGUUAGCAUCUUUUUGAUACUUUACUGCUACCCUGUGGCCACUGAGUAUAGUUAUAAUAAAUACAAUUAUUAUAACUUAUUAUAGAUGUUAUUAGUAAAUAUAUCUUUAAUAAAUGUUGGCAACUCUAGCAGCUCAAGUCUUUUCUGCUGUAAUUAAAAUGUUCUUUUUUUCUCUGGACCAAAAGUGCUAACAAAAAACAAACAUGUGAUGGGUCUGUAGCAGUACUGGUUCUUUCCAGGAAGGCUCCUGAGUAAGAAUUAAUGAAAGUAAGACCAUGACCAACUAAUCCAGACUGCAUGUAUUUUUAACCGUCUGAUGGAGGAUGUGAAUGCACAGUCAUACACCGAACGGAUACUCCAGGACUGUAACUGGGGAGGGACUGGGUUGGUCUAUUUAUGGAGCUCUGCUGCAGGCCUGGGUGUGACAGCUGAGCAUGUGCCAGUGCAAGGACAAGUCAUGAUGUCUCCCCCUGCAACCACGAUCAGAUGCAGCUCUGAUAACCAGCAUGGAUGCUGACCUUCAGCCUGAGUGCACAUACUCGGUAACACAAUAUCUACAGAGUGUGUAAGUGUGUGUGUGUGUGUGUGUGUGUCUGCUGACAUCAAACACAGCAGAAAAAAAAAUACUAAAGAAACAUGGUUUGAACAACUGUACCUUUAAAUCACUGUACAGUUUUUGGCAGCUGUGAGGGGUACUGGUCCCCUGCCAAGAACCAUCAAGUUACUUUCAUAAAUUCUGUAUCCCAUUUAAAGUUUACAUGUGGACGUGCAUCAACACCAAAGGCGCAAGAUUAUACAAACAAUCAGCCAAACUUAGUUUUCUCUGAUUAGCAUUUCCAUUCUAUUGGAUAAAGUACAACAGUGGGGAGUUUGGACACAAACACAGGUCGUGAACACAUUCAAAUGAGUCACUUGAGUAAAAACAAGCAGCCUGUUAGGAUUCCUAACAGACUGCUGCUUGAGGGGUUUUAAAACCUGCCUUCCUUGGAGGACACCUGGUGGAGGAAUUGUGACAUGCAACACAGAGCCCAUGGUUCAGCUGGUUCAGAUGUGCUCUGUAUUUACACUCACUCACCAACCUGAAUCCACAGGUGAGGAAACUAGUGUUUCUAUAAUGAAAGAUGUUGUCACUAAUUUUAAAGGUUUUAGAUUGGGGGUCUCAAACCCCUGGCCCGCAGGCCACUUUUGUCAUCGAACAACCCUCAUGCCGGCAACUAGUUUCCCAGAAUCUGACCAUCUGUUGUGCUGUGGACUGUUAGUCAUGCCACCUCCUAUUUGGACUCGAUGGACUACAGCGUAAAGGACAUUAAAGUCGAGUACAAAGAUCAUUUAUUCCUGCCAAGUCACAGUGUGCAGUGAAGUAGAACUACAGUCGGUACUUUGUUUGGAUUCUCAAGUCAAACACACGCAUACCACACAAACCCAAACAGAGCGCAUGAGAAUAUACACAACAUCUGUAUUUAACUACUGAGUGACUCACCUUAUCCUACUGGGAAACAUAUUCCCCCAUACACCACUAGAGGGAGCAGAGGUUGUACAACCCUGAGGUUUUAACACUCAUAAUCUUAACAUUUUUCCCUCAGAGAAAGACUAGGCUCUAUAAAGAGAAAUGCUCACACGACAGAAUCUUUACAAAUUACUCUUUUGCACCAGGCAGUCUCUCAUUUACCUGUUGUACUCAGUUAUUCCCCAGGUCUGUAAGAAAGGCUUAAAAAGUUGACAACUUAAAUCCAUAGAUACUUCCGACUAACUUUAAAAAAAAAAACAUGAAAUACUGAAGUAAAGUUUGCAGCAGAGAACAUCCAGAACGUGCAGCAUUUUUAUUUCUACUAAUUAUUUCCAUUUGUUUAAUCAAAAGUUUCUUACAAUUACUGAUAGACUUCUACUUCACAGUAGACAUUUGACCAGAAAACUGACAAUACGGUCAAGGACAUUAGGGGAGAAGGACUUUUGUUCAAGUCUACUU